CCGGGAGUCAGGGAGGUCCAGCCGUUCGGGUGCGGGCUGUGCGCGGCUGCCAUUUUGGAGUCGGGCAGCUGAGAAGGCGGCCGGUCCGGCCCGGGGGAAAGGAAGGAGCCAGUCAGAUGAGAAGAUCGAGGUCCAAAGUAUUGAGGAGAAAUGGCCGUAAUCACAAACCUGACACCAUAAAGCCGUCUGUGAUUGCGCCAUCUCCCGGAGGUGAGCCCGCGGAGUAGCUGCACAGGAUCCAGCCACAUCUCUC